UACGUAGGGUGCAAGCGUUGUCCGGAAUUAUUGGGCGUAAAGAGCUCGUAGGCGGUCUGUCGCGUCGGCUGUGAAAACCCGGGGCUCAACCCCGGGCCUGCAGUCGAUACGGGCAGACUAGAGUGCGGUAGGGGAGACUGGAAUUCCUGGUGUAGCGGUGAAAUGCGCAGAUAUCAGGAGGAACACCGGUGGCGAAGGCGACAUCCUGGACCGGUAUUGACGCUGAGGCGCGAAAGCCAGGGGAGCAAACGGG
rnacentral:rRNA from 1 species